UCAAGGGAUAGCUCAGUUAGUAGAGCAUAAGACUCUUAAUCUCUGGGUCAUGGGUUCAAGCCCCACAUUGGGCAAAA